GGGUAUGGCGCAGCUUACACAUGCAGUCGAGCGGGGAAGGGUAGCUUGCUACCUGACCUAGCGGCGGACGGGUGAGUAAUGCUUAGGAAUCUGCCUAUUAGUGGGGGACAACAUUCCGAAAGGAAUGCUAAUACCGCAUACGCCCUACGGGGGAAAGCAGGGGAUCUUCGGACCUUGCGCUAAUAGAUGAGCCUAAGUCAGAUUAGCUAGUUGGUGGGGUAAAGGCCUACCAAGGCGACGAUCUGUAGCGGGUCUGAGAGGAUGAUCCGCCACACUGGGACUGAGACACGGCCCAGACUCCUACGGGAGGCAGCAGUGGGGAAUAUUGGACAAUGGGCGAAAGCCUGAUCCAGCCAUGCCGCGUGUGUGAAGAAGGCCUUUUGGUUGUAAAGCACUUUAAGCGAGGAGGAGGCUACUGAGAUUAAUACUCUUGGAUAGUGGACGUUACUCGCAGAAUAAGCACCGGCUAACUCUGUGCCAGCAGCCGCGGUAAUACAGAGGGUGCGAGCGUUAAUCGGAUUUACUGGGCGUAAAGCGUGCGUAGGCGGCUUUUUAAGUCGGAUGUGAAAUCCCUGAGCUUAACUUAGGAAUUGCAUUCGAUACUGGGAAGCUAGAGUAUGGGAGAGGAUGGUAGAAUUCCAGGUGUAGCGGUGAAAUGCGUAGAGAUCUGGAGGAAUACCGAUGGCGAAGGCAGCCAUCUGGCCUAAUACUGACGCUGAGGUACGAAAGCAUGGGGAGCAAACAGGAUUAGAUACCCUCUAGUCCAUGCCGUAAACGAUGUCUACUAGCCGCUGGGGCCUUUGAGGCUUUAGUGGCGCAGCUAACGCGAUAAGUAGACCGCCUGGGGAGUACGGUCGCAAGACUAAAACUCAAAUGAAUUGACGGGGGCCCGCACAAGCGGUGGAGCAUGUGUUUAAUUCGAUGCAACGCGAAGAACCUUACCUGGUCUUGACAUAGUAAGAACUUUCCAGAGAUGGAUUGGUGCCUUCGGGAACUUACAUACAGGUGCUU
rnacentral:rRNA from 1 species